GAGAAUUUAACAGGGAGAGCAGAGGAGAUGGAGAGAUAAGAGAAGAGGCGGUAAUAUAUAGAGAUUGAGGACGAUUGAAAGAUUGGGGAGAAGGAGCAACAAGAGGUUAAAUAAGGUUUGGGGAAAAAAAAGAGAGAUCAGACUGUUACUGUGUCUAUGUAGAAAGAAGUAGACAUAAGAAACCCCAUUUUGGUCUGUACUAAGAGAAAUUAGUCUGCUUUGAGAUGCUGUUAAUCUGUAACCCUAGCCGCAACCCUGUGCUCACAGAAACAUGUGCUGUGUUGACCCAAGGUUUAAUGGAUUUAGGGCUGUGCAGGCUGUGCUUUGUUAAAAUGUGUUUGCAGGCAGUAUGCUUGGUAAAAGUCAUCGCCAUUCUCCAGUCUCGAGUACCCUGGGACAGAAUACACUGUGGAAGGCCGCAGGGACCUCUGCCCAAGAAAGCCUGGGUAUUGUCCAAGGUUUCUCUCCACUGAGACAGCCUGAGAUAUGGCCUCGUGGGAAGGGAAAGACCUGACCAUCCCCCAGCCAGACACCCGUAAAGGGUCUGUGCUGAGGACGGUUAGUGAAAGAGAUAGCCCUCUUUGCAGUUGAGAUAAGAGGAAGGCCUCUGUCUCCUGCUCCUCCCUGGGAAUGGAAUAUCUUGGUGUAAAACCCAAUCGUAUGUUCUGUUUACAGAGAUAGGAGAAAACUGCCUUAUGGCUGUAGGUGAGACAUGCUGGUGGCAAUACUGCUGUUUACUGCACUGAGAUGUUUGUGUAAAGUCAAACAUAAAUCUACCCUACAUGCACAUCGAGGUACAGCAUCUUUCCUUAAACUUAUUUAUGACACAGAGAGCUUUGCUUACAUGAUUUCCUGCUGACCUUCUCCCCACCAUUACCCUACAGUCCUUCCACAUCCCCCUCUCUGAGAUGGUAGAGAUAGUGAUCAAUAAAUAUUGAGGGAACUCAGAGACCUCGGCUGGUGCGGAUCCUCCGUAUGCUGAGUGCUGGUCCUCUGAGCCCACUGUUCUUUCUCUAUACGUUGUCUCUGUCUUAUUUCUUUUCUCAGUCUCUCAUCUCACCUGAUGAGAAAUACUCACAGGUGUGGAGGGGCUGGCCCCCUUCAAUAAGGACCAGACGCUGUGGCUCAUGCCUAUAAUCCCAGCACUUUGGGAGGCUGAGGUGGGCGGAUCACCUGAGGUCCAGAGUUUGAGAGCAGCCUGACCAACAUGGAGAAACCCCGUCUCUACUAAAAAUACAAAAUAA
rnacentral:lncRNA from 1 species